UUUAUGGAGAGUUUGAUCCUGGCUCAGGAUGAACGCUGGCGGCGUGCCUAAUACAUGCAAGUCGAGCGAACGGACGAGAAGCUUGCUUCUCUGAUGUUAGCGGCGGACGGGUGAGUAACACGUGGAUAACCUACCUAUAAGACUGGGAUAACUUCGGGAAACCGGAGCUAAUACCGGAUAAUAUUUUGAACCGCAUGGUUCAAAAGUGAAAGACGGUCUUGCUGUCACUUAUAGAUGGAUCCGCGCUGCAUUAGCUAGUUGGCAAGGUAACGGCUUACCAAGGCAACGAUGCAUAGCCGACCUGAGAGGGUGAUCGGCCACACUGGAACUGAGACACGGUUCAGACUCCUACGGGAGGCAGCAGUAGGGAAUCUUCCGCAAUGGGCGAAAGCCUGACGGAGCAACGCCGCGUGAGUGAUGAAGGUCUUCGGAUCGUAAAACUCUGUUAUUAGGGAAGAACAUAUGUGUAAGUAACUGUGCACAUCUUGACGGUACCUAAUCAGAAAGCCACGGCUAACUACGUGCCAGCAGCCGCGGUAAUACGUAGGUGGCAAGCGUUAUCCGGAAUUAUUGGGCGUAAAGCGCGC
rnacentral:rRNA from 1 species